rnacentral:rRNA from 1 species
UACGUAGGCAGCAAGCGUUGUUCGGAGUUACUGGGCGUAAAGGGUGUGUAGGCGGUUGUUUUAAGUUUGGUGUGAAAUCUCCCGGCUCAACUGGGAGGGUGCGCCGAAUACUGAAUGACUAGAGUGCGGGAGAGGAAAGUGGAAUUCCUGGUGUAGCGGUGAAAUGCGUAGAUAAUCAGGAGGAACACCGGUGGUGUAGACGGCUUUCUGGACCGUAACUGACGCUGAGACACGAAAGCGUGGGUAGCAAACAGG